CGUCGCCACGGGAAUACAGAGGGUGCGAGCGUUAAUCGGAUUUACUGGGCGUAAAGCGUGCGUAGGCGGCUUUUUAAGUCGGAUGUGAAAUCCCUGAGCUUAACUUAGGAAUUGCAUUCGAUACUGGGAAGCUAGAGUAUGGGAGAGGAUGGUAGAAUUCCAGGUGUAGCGGUGAAAUGCGUAGAGAUCUGGAGGAAUACCGAUGGCGAAGGCAGCCAUCUGGCCUAAUACUGACGCUGAGGUACGAAAGCAUGGGGAGCAAACAGGAUUAGAUACCCCGGUAGUCCCUGUCUCUUAUACA
rnacentral:rRNA from 1 species